CAGGGAAUUGGGUCUUUGGAACUCUAGCUGCCUGGACUCAUUGAGUGGUGUCCUGCAAUGAAUGCUGCACUUUCCUUGAUCACAAGAAAGUAGAUUAGCUGUGCACAAGUGAACGAAUCCAAGUUUGCUCCAGUCAGAGGCAAAAACUUCUGAAGGCAAGUGCUCUAACUUGAGAAAGUUGGGGAAGCUGUGGGUUCCGGCCAGGGUGAUGAGCAUGGAUGAAGUGGAACAGUAUGCUGACUUGACCAGUGCUUCUCAAUCAGGACCGAGAACGGACAGUGCCUUCAUCUUAUCGAGCAAGUCGGAGCUCCUCAGAGCUGCUCGGGCAGCUGGGCUCACACACUUCCAAACAGUUCAGACAGUUACUAGAGCAGUGGGAGGAGAUUCUGCCAGCUGCUCCCACGUGCCUGCGCCUUCUGCCAUGCUAGAGAAAGAGCCAGAUGAACCCAGAGUUUACAAGCCCUGGAUCAACAUAGACUAUUCAGAAUGAAGCGCCAUAGUCCUGGGUUCUGACGCCCCCUGGUGGACACUUUGAGUUGAAGUUGGUAACCGACAAACGGACUAAGACCUCAUUGGCAAGAAAACACGUCCCAUCUCUUCUGAAAGUGAACUGUUCCACUUUCAGAGGUGGAAACCAGCUAAAUCCUUA